rfam:Myotis davidii contig81411, whole genome shotgun sequence.
AGGCCUGCAGAGAGAGAGGCAGGGUCUGAUCUGCAACCUCAGUGGCAGCUGUUGAUCAGCCCUUGUCUCUCUCUUUCUCUCCC